GGGGCUGAUUUGGCUUCGACAGGAAUAGCGAAGUUAUGAUGCAUGUAGCUUUUGGCACAGCUUUAAAAGCCUAAGUUUAAAAUUAAACGCAAACAAUACAAAUUUUGCUCCUGCUUACGCUAAAGUUGCGUAAGUUCAGUUGAGCCUUGCUUUUUAGUGAUUCUAUCUAGCUAAAAUAGCGAGUAAUCCUUGAUAGAGUAGGGUUUAAAUUUGGCGAGUUUAAGUCUGAAAUCUAGCCUUAGUCAAAUUUAAGAUUUUGGGAAGUGAGUCUGAUUUGAUGAAAAUUUCACUUCUGCUAAACAUGUAGAUUUCGUAAGUGAGUUAUUUUUGGACUGCGGUUCAAUCCCGCACAGCUCCACCA
rnacentral:tmRNA from 1 species